rnacentral:rRNA from 1 species
AGUGAACGCUGGCGGUAGGCCUAACACAUGCAAGUCGAACGGCAGCACAGUAAGAGCUUGCUCUUACGGGUGGCGAGUGGCGGACGGGUGAGGAAUACAUCGGAAUCUACUUUUUCGUGGGGGAUAACGUAGGGAAACUUACGCUAAUACCGCAUACGACCUACGGGUGAAAGCAGGGGAUCUUCGGACCUUGCGCGAUUGAAUGAGCCGAUGUCGGAUUAGCUAGUUGGCUGGGUAAAGGCCCACCAAGGCGACGAUCCGUAGCUGGUCUGAGAGGAUGAUCAGCUACACGUGAAGUGAGUCACGUUCAAGACGCCUACGUGAGGGAGCAGUGGGGAAUUGUGGAGGAUGGGCGCAAGCCUGAUCCAGCCAUACCGCGUGGGUGAAGAAGGCAUUCGGAUUGUGAAAACCUUUUGUUGGGGAAGAAAAGCAGCAGGUUAAUACGUCGCUGUGCUGACGGUACCGAAAAAGUAGGCACGGGCUAAGUUCGUG